GACGAACGCUGGCGGCGUGCUUAAUACAUGCAAGUCAACUGAACUUUAGGUAGCAAUAUUUAAAGGGAGGUGGCGCACGGGUGAGUAACACGUAGGUAAUCUGCCUUCAGGACUGACAUAAUUCCGCGAAAGCGGGACUAAAAUCAGAUGAUGCAGCGGCUCGACAUCGAGACAGUUGUUAAACCUUCGGGGCCUGAAGAUGAGCCUGCGUCUGAUUAGGUAGUUGGCGGGGUAAAAGCCCACCAAGCCUGCGAUCAGUAGCUGGUCUGAGAGGAUGAUCAGCCACACUGGAACUGAGACACGGUCCAGACUCCUACGGGAGGCAGCAGUAAGGAAUAUUGCUCAAUGGCCGAAAGGCUGAAGCAGCAACGCCGCGUGGAGGAUGAAAUACUUUAGUAUGUAAACUCCUGUAAGAGGGGAAAAAUAUACAGCUAUGCUGUGUUGAUUGUACCCUCAGAGUAAGCACCGGCUAACUACGUGCCAG
rnacentral:rRNA from 1 species